rnacentral:rRNA from 1 species
AGUGGGGAAUAUUGCACAAUGGGCGCAAGCCUGAUGCAGCGACGCCGCGUGAGGGAUGACGGCCUUCGGGUUGUAAACCUCUGUUAGCAUCGAAGAAGCGAAAGUGACGGUAGGUGCAGAGAAAGCGCCGGCUAACUACGUGCCAGCAGCCGCGGUAAUACGUAGGGCGCGAGCGUUGUCCGGAAUUAUUGGGCGUAAAGAGCUUGUAGGCGGUUGGUCGCGUCUGCUGUGAAAGGCUGGGGCUUAACCCUGGUUUUGCAGUGGGUACGGGCUAACUAGAGUGCAGUAGGGGAGACUGGAAUUCCUGGUGUAGCGGUGGAAUGCGCAGAUAUCAGGAGGAACACCGAUGGCGAAGGCAGGUCUCUGGGCUGUAACUGACGCUGAGAAGCGAAAGCAUGGGGAGCGAA